ensembl:lncRNA
AUGAGAGCAGAAGACUCCCAGACGGAUUGGUUCACGCGCUUAUUUGUCACUUUUUAUUUGGGAAUAUUACAUUUUCGGGAGAGCAAAGGAUGCUGCAGUGGAAAUCAAUACAGUCCCCAGAUGUUGGGGUCUCCUGGUCCCUCGAUGCAGAGAUGUUCCGCAGUGUCUGAUUGCACGAGGGAGAUGGCUGGAAACAGAAAGGCUUCUUUGACUGAAAGCGUGGUGACCAUGGGGGAGGAAACCGAGCCCUCUGUGAGAGGAAGAGUCUCCUUAGCAACAGCAAGAAAAUUAACAUUGACAUCCUGACUUCCCAGCAAAACUCUUCUCAGGGCUUCUGCUGGAUAUUUCCAUGAGGAGAGUAUUAAAAAAAAAGUUCAAAUGCUGAUAUGAAGGCACACACUCCCCGCUUGUCUUCCAUUUAUAUUGAAAUGAGCUCUCCUCUCUUCUCUGUUUGUGUGCAGUGAAUACAGAGAGUCCUAAUAUAUGUAUUUUGCUCAUUUUACUGUGUGCGCUGUUUCCGCGCCUCUCCUCUGUAACUCUGUGUUUGCCUCCCGCUGUGGUAAACACAACACAGCCAUGAUAACACAUGCAUUUCAGAAAGCUCAAAACACUGUAGAGGAGCCGAAACAUUCUCAGUUUCUUCCCCUCUCCCUCCCUUUCAGCCAAGGCAUUCAGCUCCCAUGACUGCAAACAUGCAUAAUGACAGCAUCUCCCGGGGGCCAGCGGAGGUACCCCACUGAUGUCGAGACACUCUAUCCUGUCGUCACAUCGGCAGUGCAAGCCAGAGCCUGGUGAGCUUUGGCAAAGCCCUACCAGAAGCUGGGCUGGGUUUUUUUUCCCCGUUAAUAAAAUGAAGUGCAAAUUGGACCAGGCUUUUUGGAGCAGCUCACUGCUUCCUCCCAUUACGAGGCCAGGGCGAGCGCCAUGGAAGCAUAAGCGUGAAUACAUUAUAAAGUAAUGAGGAAACAUCCAGGAGAGGGUCAUGGGGGGCCUCGAGCUGCUCCAGGUCCCUUCCGAAGAGCUUUCAGUGUGCUCCGUGAUAGAUUAGUCAUUCACGUUUGAAGAGCCAGCGAGAGGUUGAGUUCAACAACAUUACACAUAGCAACAGUUGCUAAGAGUUGCAGCCAGGGAGGCCCGUUCAUUUAUAUGUACAGUUGCUGCGGAGCAGGAAUAUAGGUGAAAAAGGAUGGAGCUGUUUUUUUGUAUCGCUGUUGAUGACGGUGACAUUUCCAACAAUGCAGAACAAUAUUCUCCAACACAGAGAAAGUGGUUGGAACCAUGGAGGAGAAAGUAAUCAUAUCAAAGCACCACAAGAGAGACGAAAUGCCACUGAUAUUUGUCAAAAUUACAUCAGUGGAUACGGCUGGAUUAAAAACUCCUGCUGUUGCUGAAAAAUCAACGGCAAAAGGAAUGAUUAAAGCAGCUCACAUGUGAGUGACAGGACUGCAUCACAAACAGGCUCUACGCGUUCCCUUCAGGGUGGGACAGGUGGGUGGCAGCCAGGUUAAGCCUGAUACUUUCCAGUCAUUCUCAGGGCAAACGCCCUUGGUCACCGAUGAGGCCACGACAAGUUGCCUGAUGGAACGCCAUGGCAACAGCCCACACCUGCCAAGAGUUCCCCCCCAUCUCUAUGGUGGCCCUGAAGUGCAAAUCACAUCAACAAAUCACUCAAGGGAAACCAAAGGAAACCAAAACACAACACCCCCCCUAAAAAAAAAGAAAGAAAGAAAAAAUGAAUGUUUGGGAAAAGUAAUUUCCUGAAAUAAAAAUAAAAUGUCAAAAAAUUAAACACAGUGAUAAAUCAGACAAGGUAGGUACUAAGGUACUAUAAGAAUUCCUUAUUGGAUGAUGACGUUUGUCCAUUAUUUUAACUCAAAGUUAUUUAGCAUGAAGUGAUACUGCAGCUCUGUACUAAUAAAACUUUUAUUGUAUAUGUUUACAUUGAAGACGCAUUAGGAAAGGCUCAAACGUCAUAAUCUAAUCAGUGAUGUCCCACAGUGAUGUCCUGGUUUUCCUUUUUUUUAAAUAGUGUUUUUUUGUUUCUGGAUUUUGUUUUGAUUUCUGAAAAAUAAUGUUUUCUUUCUCAUUUGUUUUGCUCUUUUGAUUGUCAUUGCGAUGUUUAGUAUGUUUUUGCAUUGAGUAAAUUGUUGAUAGUAUUUGAACUUCAGGGCCACCGUACAUCUCCCCUCCUGUACCCCCUCUCCUCCUCAGUCACUUCUACAUGUUUCCUGAAAGACAACCUCUGUGAACAAAUUCUGGGUGCAUGCCACUGCCACUCUAAAUAAAGGGCAAUUUUUGGGUUGUGUCUCCUUGUGCCCCCUCCUUUCUUUACUCUUUUAAUAUUUUUGCAUAAAAAAACAUUUGCUAACAUUUUUUCCUCUCUUUCUGCAGGGUGACUCACAUAAAACAGUGAGGAAUAAAAAAACUUUGGGUGGGAAAGACAAGCGAACAUUUUCCUUUGUCAUUUUUCAGCUCCAGUUUUUCAGUUGUUAAACCAAAGCGUUGAAUAAAUCCUCUGUUGAGAGCUUCAACUCAGCUGUGUUAUCAAUUAAUCAAAUUAAUCAAGACUGGAGGAAGUUCUGCAGGAUCCAGCCGACUAAGAGGCUGCAUAAAUGUUCAAGUGAACUGCUGCUUGAUGGAAACCCCACAAGUAAUAAUCACAAAGAACAAACACAGCAAUGAUGGAAGAUCCUGCAGAGCUGCUUCAGGUUUCCCUGCGCUUACAUUAAGUUCCAGUGUUUGCUAUGUUAAAAAUUCAGUUUAACAUUCAUGGAAUCAAAAAGACAAAUGUUUUUAGCCUGACGAUUACAUGGAGCGGUGUCUGUGUGGAUCUCAUUCACAGUGCAUGAAGGAUGCUGUUAAGAGAUCAGGUUUAUUUAUUUUAAAAAGAAAGGAAAGAAAAUGGGUAGAGGUUCAGGAGGAGAGCUAUCGGAUCCAUCCACCAUAUUGCAUCUGUAUUCUACCCGCUGAUCAAGUCACCGAAAACGUCACGUGACCAAAGUUGAGUCCCUGUUGAUGCAACGACCUCGACAAAGUUGAAAUUUUUGAUCUCUAGCCGUGCCACAUAAAUUGCCCUGCUGCCAGACUGCCGCUCCAUACCCAUCAAUUAAUUUGCACCACAGUGCCUCAGGUGGUUUCUGUACCAUUGACUCAGCAUUGAAACUGGUCGCGGGAAUCGCCUUCGGUAUGAACGCAGCUUAACAUUUGUUUUAGUGGAAUCUGUCUUUUUGUAUGUCACAACCAAGGCUCGGAGGUUACAGGUAUUGUAAAUAUUGCUGUUUUUUGUGCCACA